CGGGUAGUUCUUAUUCCAGUUCACCCUUCUCCCGUACGUUCAAAAAUCUAGUACAAUUUCUUGAAUAUUUUCGAACUUUUUCGCCUCCUUAAAAAAGUCAAAUUUUCGACCUUUAUAUUUGAAUAAGAAAUUAAUAAAAAAUGUUUUCAUUGAGAUUGACUUUGCCACAUACACUCAGCUGGCUGACUCGAUCAACAUGUACCCGAGGCAUUCCAUCCACCCGCACAGAUGGGUGGCAUGCAACUAGCUGGAAACUUGCAACAUGGGCACAAUGGAGGACUUUUUGAUCAGCGAAAUCGUGGAAACGUUAGUCAACACAACGUCGCGAACUUUGGAACUCAGGGUUCCACUGUUAAUUUCGGCAUGACUUUACCUCAAGGAACUCUCAACCUUGGCCAAGGCCAAAGCAACCGUGGUUGAUCUUCAGCAAUCCAAAUCCGAUGGGUUUCCACAACGAUCCCAAUAUUCCCUUGGGACUGGAGGACCUCUCCGAUAACUUUCGUGCCCAUCCCAAUGGCCCAAUUUACCGUCAGCCCAUAAGUGCUGCCCGAAUGGCAUGCACGUCAAAUGUUGGCCCGCAAUGGUUUGCAGUAAGUCAACACAAAAUAUUUCUCUAAUAUCUGAUGUACAUAUAUUGAAAAUAUUUCUUAACUGGUCCUAAUGUUACGCCACGGUUGAGCGGCGGCGAUGCCAGCAUAACUAUUCCCGUUCUUGAACGUUAGUCAUCAUUCUUAAUAUCAUUUUAAAGAUUUAUCCAUGUAUAAUAAUCUUUGUUUUCUGCAGGCCUCAGCCCAAAUAAUGACAAUCGCGGCAGUCGACGUCGACUCUUUUGGUAAAACCAUUUGAUCUGGUGAUUACCAACUUGAUUUACGAAUCUAAAUUAAUCAAUAAAUGUUCGAAAAGACGAAAUUUUGAUGUUUAGCUACCUUGGUUGAAU
rnacentral:lncRNA from 1 species